GUAUUCUCGAAAGCGGCCUAAGUUAAAUCAGUGGCCUAAACCUGGUUUAAACCAUGGACUAUCUUUUUUGCUAUUCUCGAAGGUGGCCUAAAGAUAAGCCAGGCUUAAAUACGUCAUAGUUCGGCCUAACUUUAGGCGGCUCAGAGGGCAGGUUUAAAUACGUCAUAGUUCGGCCUAACUUCGCGUGACGUCACUUUUUAGUUAAAUCGACUGUCCGCGGAGAGUGAACGGUUCUUUUCAAUUGAUGCAUGGGGAUGGAGAAAAAAAGGCCUCUCCCAAGCUAUGGUGUCCCGCCUUGUGAAGUCCAUCUCAAUAGCCAUUGCCAGGAGAUGGGAGCAAUACAUCACAAUUCCUUCAGCAAGAGAGGCAGUCCUGCAGAGUGCAGACCCAACAUGAAUUGUAUAAAUACUGCCAUUUCCCUGGCGUUAAUAUGGUCGGUGCUAUUGAUUGCACCCACAUAGGCAUCUCCAAGCCAGUUGGCCCAACACCAGUUAUUUCCUGAACAGGAAAAAAUAGAUACUCCAUUUUUCUUGGAAAGUCUGCUGGAUGAUGUUUUUCUUCAGUAAAAUAAAUGAAGGCAAAUUCCCUGAUAACUGAGACAAAUUCAGAGAGAGGAAGGAGAACUACUGAGCUGCUGAAUGUCUGACAGGUAGGCUGUACGAAUAAGUUGUUGUUUGUAUGCCCAGGUACUUCAAGGAUGGCAUUUGUUCAUUCACAUUUUUCCAUCAAUACUUUCAUGUAAUUGAUUAAUAUGCACUCCACUUUUACCACAAUGUACAUGCAAGACCUUUUUAAUGUUUAACAGAAAUAGGUUUCAAUGUGCUUCCUUUCAUUCUUUUCUCUUUUCAUUCAACAGACAUACUUGCAAGGACUAUGAAGUUCUACUUAGCCUCUUCAAUGAACCAGACUCCAUCUGCUGUAACUGUGACUGCAUGGGGAUCAAAACCUGUGUAUUAUAAUCCUCAUACAUGAAGCUAUGGUAACAAACAAGCAACCAUUGAUAAAAAGCCUGAUAUGUCCUUGUUGUGUGUGUGAACCACAAAGCAACCAUCACUCAUAAGGAUGUUUUUAUGUACAUCAGAUGUUCAUUGUUUCACUGGAAAAAUUGUGAUUUUGAAUCAUUUAAGAAAUCAUGUUUUAUAAUGCGUUUUAUAAUAUAGUGCAAGUCAUGAUAUAACAGAUUCCCUGCAAAAGAAACACGGCUCAAAAGUAGACUAAGCUUUGUUUU
rnacentral:lncRNA from 1 species